CGUUGAUGGUAAAGGUCCACACUCAUAGUUUUUAUAUUAUAUGUUUCAGACCUUCAUAAAUGAUUCAAAUACAAAAUAAACAACAUCAGUAACUUCGGGGGAGUUAGCUAAUACUUCUGUCUCCAUUUCCUCCGGCUGAUUUUUGACAUCCUGACAUAUCUCUCAUAAUUAGGAAUAUUGAAAAUAUUAAUGUUCAAUUAGACCGAAU
rnacentral:lncRNA from 1 species